GCAGUAUGGGUGCAGACUUUCUCAGUCCUGCCUGGGAUAGUCAUCUUCUUGAUACAGCGUGCUAUCCUUGGGAGGUUCCAGCUCUCAGAAGACUAGCGUGGAAAUGCUGUGGCCGAGUGUCUUCGUUGCAUUUAAUUUUCAGGCCUUUUCUUUUAACAUCUGAAGCAAGAAGUUGGACUUUUUAGUAGGAGAAUUUUUGCUAGCACCGAUGUUGUUUCCCUGGGCAACUCAGCUGGGCUCACCCUAUCUUAAUAGGGAACCUGCAGUCUGAAUUUCAAGCACGCUUCCUUUGAGAAUUCACAGAGAACUGCAACCCAAAGGUGAAAAUGGAAGCUGUCUAAGAAGGAAUGUAUCUAAUUGUCAUUUACUGACUACUGGGGAGCUGUUAAUCUCCUGGAACUUCAGUACCAUGCUGAAUUACUGGACUUUGUUUUUCACAUCAACUCUAUCAAGGUCUUAUUUUGGAAGAGGUGGCUCAUUCCUAUAUCACAGAACCAAGAAUGGCUUGGGUUGGAAGGGAUCUGAAAGCCCAUCUAGUUCCAAAACCUGCCGUGGGCUGGUUGCCCCACCACCAGAUCAGGCUGCCCAGGGCCCUUUCUAGCCUGUCCAUGGUCACCUCCAGGGAUGGAGCAUAUACCUUCUCCAGGCUACUCCUGUUUAUAUCAGACUGUGUCAGACACCUCAAAGUCAUCUUUAUUUCAGGCAGAAGAGUUUCAGUCUGUUCAGUUCAUUGUUGUGCAUUUCUCUCCUAGGAUUCACAGAUAGAAUCUCUUGGAACAAAAAGAGUACCUUGAACAGCAGCUUGAGUAUCAGUAUAGCAAAUCAGCUAAAAGACAAAAAAAACACUAAAACAUCUUGAUUGAUAGAUUCAUAGAUUGAUCUUUGCUAUAGAGCAGUGACAUGGGGAAUAUGUGCUUGCACAGCUAAUGUUGAAGAAUGAUCUAGGAGUAUCUAAAAUGUAAGGACAACGUACUUACAGAGCUCAAGUCUUUUCAGGGAUGUCUAGGAAUUAUAACAGUCUCAAAUGAUAUUCUUAAAAUAUGGCAAAAUUGUGGGAAGAAAUCCAAGAACUAACAGUACUUGGAGCAGCUUGACAAUGGACUGGGAUUUGAUUCUCUAAUACACUGUAAUCUGGCUGCAUUGUGCAGCUCUGUCCUUCCACAAAACCAAACCUGCAGCAAGAUGGAGUUGCUUUUUCCUUCUUUUUGAACAUUCUAGUGCUGCAGUUCCCUUCUUGUGUCAGCUGGUGGCUGCUAAGCCCUUCUCCAGCCCAAAACACUGCCUGCUUCUUGGAGCAUUAAGGUGCUCAGCGGCAUCCCUCAUCCCUGGGGAUGUGUGCUAAGGAUGGGAUGCUCCAUUUUUCUAUCUAGGUCACUACUUUUUGUUGUUGUUGUUGUUUCUAGUUAUGUAAGCUGAUACAAUAUUUCUGUGGACAAAACACCCAGUGACUUCUAUGGCAAAGGAGAAAGAACAAACACAAAAACUAAAUUUUGAGUUAUCUCCUGCUGUUUGUAUAUGAUUUGUCCUUAUAAUUUCAAGUGCAGAUCAGGUCAGCAUGGAAAACUUUGCUUGCUAUUAACAUCCUCUUCUUUGCAGUGGCAUCUAUAAGCAAGCUAACUGUGCUCAUGACCAACAAGGUAACUACUUCUAGCGUUGUUCAUCAUGAUCUUCAUCCCAAAGCAGGGAGAUUUCAAAUCAAAAUCUAAAACUGGGAAAACAUAGAGUGUCAGCAAUUGCUUAGUUUUCUUUCAAGACGUCAAGCGGGAUCAUUAUCCCAUAUCUAUAAGUGAUGGAGCCAUUUUCUCUGUGUGACAAAGACAGAUUUUUGUUUGGAAGUGUAGGUCAAAUAUCCUGGAAAAGUACUUUCACUGUGUAUCUUUGGAAGGAUGUCUAGAAUGUAUGAUCCAGGACGGAGGAGCACAGGGGAGGGGAGAAGACAUUGCCUGUGUGAGCACUCAGUGCUCCUCAAGAAGCCCAGCAAAGCUGUGGCUGGCUUAAGAACCUGCAGUAGUGGGAGCUAGGACUGAGAACAUGACCUUGUAGCCCAUGACUCCUGGCCUCCAGCUGCAGAAACACUCCAGGACAAGAGGCUAUCGAGGGCAGAUGGGCUGCUCCUUGUGAAGAACCUCUCUUUUCUGUGUGCUGUUCAAAAGCCUGCUAGAUGCUUGCCAGAGGUUUUGCAGUGGUGGGAAGAGGGGAGGAAAAAGUGAGGAUUGAAUGGAGAUGUGCAUUUAGGAGGGAGGCAGAACUGGGGCAGUGAGUGUUCCUGGAGCCCUGCAUGGAGCAGCAGCAGCCUGUGUGGCACUAAAACAUUUUAAACUCACGACAGGGGAGCUCUCUGUGGAUUGAACACUUCAAAGGGAGAGCCUGCCAGCUCUUUAAAUAACGUGGAGCAACAAGAAAAAGCCUGAGUUGCACACCCACAGGAAAGAAAGCAGGCCUCACUCGGCCUGGGUGUAAAGCAGUAUAAUCCCAUUGGCUUCAGGGAGCUUGCAAUAGCUGACGCCAUGGAAGAAUUUAGUCUAGUGUGCCUAACAGUCUUAUGUAGCCUGAAUAAUUCUUUUGUCCUGUCUAUGCAUCGUGAUUGUAGCAAUAGGUAUUAGAAUAU
rnacentral:lncRNA from 7 species